UACGGAGGGUGCAAGCGUUAAUCGGAAUUACUGGGCGUAAAGCGCACGCAGGUGGCUGAGUCAGUCGAUUGUGAAAGCCCUGGGCUUAACCUGGGAAUUGCAGUCGAUACUACUCAGCUAGAGUAUGGGAGAGGGCAGUGGAAUUCCCGGUGUAGCGGUGAAAUGCGUAGAUAUCGGGAGGAACAUCAGUGGCGAAGGCGGCUGACCUGGUCCC
rnacentral:rRNA from 1 species